rnacentral:rRNA from 1 species
UACGUAGGGGGCAAGCGUUAUCCGGAUUUACUGGGUGUAAAGGGAGCGUAGACGGCGAUGCAAGUCAGAUGUGAAAGCCCGGGGCUCAACCCCGGGACUGCAUUUGGAACUGUAUAGCUAGAGUGUCGGAGAGGCAGGCGGAAUUCCUAGUGUAGCGGUGAAAUGCGUAGAUAUUAGGAGGAACACCAGUGGCGAAGGCGGCCUGCUGGACGACAACUGACGGUGAGGCGCGAAAGCGUGGGGAGCAAACAGG